GACGAACGCUGGCGGCGUGCUUAACACAUGCAAGUCGAACGGAAAGGCCCUGCUUUUGUGGGGUGCUCGAGUGGCGAACGGGUGAGUAACACGUGAGUAACCUGCCCUUGACUUUGGGAUAACUUCAGGAAACUGGGGCUAAUACCGGAUAGGAGCUCCUGAUGCAUGGUGGGGGUUGGAUAGUUUCGGCGGUUGGGGAUGGACUCGCGGCUUAUCAGCUUGUUGGUGGGGUAGUGGCUUACCAAGGCGUUGACGGGUAGCCGGCCUGAGAGGGUGACCGGCCACAUUGGGACUGAGAUACGGCCCAGACUCCUACGGGAGGCAGCAGUGGGGAAUAUUGCACAAUGGGCGGAAGCCUGAUGCAGCAACGCCGCGUGCGGGAUGACGGCCUUCGGGUUGUAAACCGCUUUCGCCUGUGACGAAGCGUAAGUGACGGUAAUUGGUGAAGAAGCACCGGCUAACUACGUG
rnacentral:rRNA from 1 species